GGAGUUUGGUCCGUGUCUCAGUACCAAUGUGGGGGACCUUCCUCUCAGAACCCCUACUGAUCGUAGCCUUGGUGGGCCGUUACCCCGCCAACAAGCUAAUCAGACGCAUCCCCAUCCCUUAGCGAUAAAUCUUUGGUAUUCGUCAGAUGUCCUCAAAAUACAACAUAGAGUAUUAAUCCGACUUUCGCCGGGCUAUCCUCUACUAAGGGGAAGGUUGGAUACGCGUUACUCACCCGUGCGCCGGUCGCCAUCUGAAAUAGCAAGCUAUCUCAAUGCUGCCCCUCGACUUGCAUGUGUUAAGCCUGUAGCUAGCGUUCAUC
rnacentral:rRNA from 1 species